GUUGUAUUCACAAGAGUGUUCCUUUUGUUUUCUGCUACACUUUCAUUUGGAACUUUUUUUCUGAAUAUGUCUUUUGUUUAAUUCUUAUCCAGUGUAGCAAAUCUUCAUAAAAAUUAUUUUACUGCCCCUGUAAUAAAGAAAUGAACAAAUGAGUACUCAAUGUAUACUUCUUAUGAAUAUAAUAAAUCUUAAAAGACUCUUGUUUAAACUAGACUAUAUAAUGCGAUGCCAUAGGGAUAAUGCACUCAUACCACAUCUUCCAACAUCUAUUUAGAUUGUUAGACUUCACUGUGCUAGCUAAGUUUAGCCGGAAAAUUGAGGGUAGAUAUGGAUACAGGAAACAGAACCAUGUAAAAAAAUGUUCUAACUAAAUGAAUAAUUCUAGUAAAAAAUCUAAAUCAAAUCUAAAUACAACAGCAUUAUCGGUAUUAUAAUAUUUAAC
rnacentral:lncRNA from 1 species